rnacentral:rRNA from 1 species
GUCCACGCCGUAAACGAUGGGCACUAGGUGUUCGGGGUAUUGACCCCCCGAGUGCCGCAGCUAACGCAUUAAGUGCCCCGCCUGGGGACUACGGCCGCAAGGCUAAAACUCAAAGGAAUUGACGGGGGCCCGCACAAGCGGUGGAGCAUGUGGUUCAAUUCGACGCAACGCGAAGAACCUUACCUGGGCUAGACAACGUCGGACAACCCCAGAAAUGGGGCCUUCCCGCAAGGGACCGGCGGUUCAGGUGCUGCAUGGCUGUCGU